rnacentral:lncRNA from 1 species
GCUUCUAACGUGUUGCCUGCCUUCAGUUUUUUUUUUUCCAAUGAUAUUUGGUAAAUUGCAAUCCUAGUAAAACAUUUCAUGCCAUUUGUUCUCCUAAAGCAACUUUUUCUUUUCUUUUCUUUUCCUUUUUUUUUUUUUUUUUUCCAUUGGGGGGAGAAACAAACCCCAGCAUGACUUGACUGGAUAAAUACACAUAAUUUAUCAUGAUUACAAAUUUACAUGUUAAUUUGUGUUUCUGAACCAGAGUACAGGUACCAGUUUCUUGGGAACUCUUAAAGUAGCUAUGAAAUUACUGGUUAGCAAACUGAAAGCCCCUGCAAUAAUUACACGUAGCACACCACCCCCAUUUCACCAGUUGACGUCCUAAGGAAUUCGUGUGCCGUUUGCUCCCUCUGCACUGGAGCGGUCACAAUUUUACUGUAAUUGCCAUUUUUACACCAGCAUUUCAGGUAUAGUUCUUAAAACUCCGUGAGCAUGUUAAACAUGUGGAAUACCCUGGACUUCCUUUUGAAAGUCACAUUCCCGGUUCGACAGCGGUCUGGCCUGACUCCACUCCAUCUCCGCACCAGCCCCCCACCCCCACCCCCAACAUCCACGCCAGACCCACAAGGCAGUCCUAUAUUUACAAACACGUUUAAAUUGUCAUUGCAUUCCAUAACUCUCAAUAAUACUUGAGUUUUAUACAUUCACAUGUUUUAAAAGCGCAGUUUGUAGAAGACACUAGGAGAAUUUCAUUCCAUUUGCUGGAUGAUUGCUGCUCUGGCUUUUUAAGACUUGGAAUUAACUUUUAUUUAGAGCAAAGGAAGAAAUCUUUUAAGAGGCUAAAUUCAUGCUGCUAUUAUUGCUGUGAAAUUGUAUAAAGAUUAGGAUUCAUGCCAGUUCUUUUUUUUUUAUUAUUAUUUAAAAGAAAAUCAUGUGAUUGCAUUUUAAGGGUUUAUAUUUAGAAAAAAAAUAAAGUUUUAAGAACACAGUUAUUUAUAUGUGGAAAUACUCUAUAAGGUUUUCUUUUGUUUACCCAGAGAAAUUCAUUCAAUAAGGAUCAUGGUAGCAGCCCUGACAUACUGACCUGUGGAAGGUCUGGAAAUGUCUCUACAUUACAUAUGCAGACCCAGUGGGAAUAGAAUCACAGUGUUAGGGAACCUGAUAGGAUCCUUCACACAAACACAUCAAGUGCUAUAUACAGGAGUUUGAUCUUUGGCGAAUAUGCAGCACUAACUUUUUUUUUUUUUUUUUUUAACCUUAACCAUCUUUGUGUCACGUAGGCAACCCAUCGCCCCUCUGAGAUCACACAAGCCCUGUAAGUUCUCACCAGCAGCAUGGAGUGUAGGAAGGAGCCAGUAUGACGAGGAGGUACAGAAGGAGUUAGGAACUGGGAUCCCAGAAGGAAGCGGCUGAAGGAGUCCUGUCUAAUUUUAAUAUUUGUGGAUUUGUUGUCACACACAUUGUUUACUCCUGAACCUAAGUCUCUUUUAUGAAGACGGAGGUUAAUUCCUCAGAACCAGUACUUUAUUAAUGUCCUGUGGGCUUAGAAAUAUCAGGUGGAUAUUUUGAAUACAGAAUAACAACUCAAAUUUACUGGUAUAAUCGUGAAACACCGGCUUUAGGUAAAAUCUAGAGUUGUUCCAUUUAAUGUACGUAGUGACAGCCUUAACUUUGGAUUCAGUUUUUUUGAGGGACUUUGCCUGUAUCUUUCCCUUUCUAAUACUGUAGGGUAGAAACCUUGUGGCAGGUUACUGUGAGCCAGGCUAACUCAGCACAGUUCACAUGGUGUGUGACUUCGCAAACAGUUAACAGUUCAAAUUUUGACAUGGAGCAUUAUGAUCAAGGAAAUGGAGCUGCCUUAUGCAUUAGACCCAUAAUUUAAUUCUAUUGGUAUUUUCAUAGCUGUGUCUCCAGAUUGUAUCUUUUUGGCAAAAUUCUGAUGUCACAGUUUGGUUUGAUUGAAACAAAUACUCCCUGGAUGUCUGGCCAGAGACUUUGCUAACAGCCCCAGAGGUGCCACUUUCUUACUAAUUUCAUCUGAGCCUUAUUGCUUUAAUGUAUUCAGUUUGCUUUUAAAGACGCAAAUCCCCAGGAUGGUCCCACCAAUAGGGCCUGCACAUUUUUAGAAUGGCAAAGCAUUUUUUAAAAGUUAGGGUCAGGUUGAAAACUUCUAAGACGACUCUGUUAAAGAGGGACCGUCAGAUUGGGAAUGGAGAUAGAAGGGUAGGUAACCACAUUUGAAGUGGCAAUAGAUGCAUACGAUGUAAAUUGGAAAUUUGCCCCUUGAGUGAUAAAAGGAGCCUGCAGGGUCCAUAUAUCUGUUCCCCGCUUUGUUUGUCAAUCAUCCUUCAUUAUGUUGCCAAAGUAUCAUCUGAGCAAUGUGUGUAAGGAAAUUAUAAUGAAAGCAAAAGUAUGUCAGAAAAGUUACUUCCAAAUGGUUAGAGGCAUGUGAUUUUCAGUACUGUGUGUUACGGAAACGUCAGGAAUGGUAUAUUUUAAUGUCAGUGUGCACAGAGGGUCUUUUUUCCUUUUCUGAUUAGUAACUGUUAGUGUUCAAAGAAUAAAAAUGGUUGUUUUACAGUUUAGAUUCUAAGGUAGCAAAACCUGAUUUUUCAGCCAUGACCUGCAUGAGAGAAGCAUCCUAGGAAGUCUUAGAUCAUACCUUUGAGUUCUUAACUUUAAUUUAUAUAGUGUUUUUUUUUAUGUUUUAAUAUUUUUGUGAACUGGUGUAAAUUGUUAAUGCAUAUAAGCUUGUGUAUUUUUGUAAAUAGUUUUGUGAUUUAUUUCUUGACCCAUAUGUAAAUAUUUAGAGUCUCAUUUCUUCAAAACUUAUUUGAAGCUGAGUUGUGGGCUUGGGGUUUUGUUUGUUUCUUUGUUUUGGUUGGGGGAGGGGGGAGAGCAGAGAUUUUGUACUCCAAUAAUCCAGAUGGAGAUAUCUUGUGGUUUAAAGCAAAUGUCCCACUGAAAGCAAUUCAAAUAUCAACAAAAUUAUUUCAGGUUAAAACAGA